UACGUAGGGUGCUAGCGUUGUUCGGAAUCAUUGGGCGUAAAGCGCGUGUAGGUUGUUGGGUAAGUCGAUUGUGAAAUCCCUGGGCUUAACCGAGGAAGUGCAGUCGAAACUACUUGGCUAGAAGGUGGUAGAGGGAGGUGGAAUUCCAAGUGUAGAGGUGAAAUUCGUAGAUAUUUGGAGGAAUACCGGCGGCGAAGGCGGCCUCCUGGACCAUUCUUGACACUGAGACGCGAAAGCGUGGGUAGCAAACAGG
rnacentral:rRNA from 1 species